UACGGUGCUGAAGCAACAAAUGCCCUGCUUCCAGGAAAAGCCUCUAAGCAUCAGGUAACAUCAAAUCGUACCCCAAACCGACACAGGUGGUCAGGUAGAGAAUACCAAGGCGCUUGAGAGAACUCGGGUGAAGGAACUAGGCAAAAUGGUGCCGUAACUUCGGGAGAAGGCACGCUGACACGUAGGUGAAGUGAUUUACUCAUGGAGCUGAAGUCAGUCGAAGAUACCAGCUGGCUGCAACUGUUUAUUAAAAACACAGCACUGUGCAAACACGAAAGUGGACGUAUACGGUGUGACGCCUGCCCGGUGCCGGAAGGUUAAUUGAUGGGGUCAGCGCAAGCGAAGCUCCUGAUCGAAGCCCCGGUAAACGGCGGCCGUAACUAUAACGGUCCUAAGGUAGCGAAAUUCCUUGUCGGGUAAGUUCCGACCUGCACGAAUGGCGUAAUGAUGGCCAGGCUGUCUCCACCCGAGACUCAGUGAAAUUGAACUCGCUGUGAAGAUGCAGUGUACCCGCGGCAAGACGGAAAGACCCCGUGAACCUUUACUAUAGCUUGACACUGAACAUUGAGCCUUGAUGUGUAGGAUAGGUGGGAGGCUUUGAAGUGUGGACGCCAGUCUGCAUGGAGCCGACCUUGAAAUACCACCCUUUAAUGUUUGAUGUUCUAACGUGGACCCGUAAUCCGGGUUGCGGACAGUGUCUGGUGGGUAGUUUGACUGGGGCGGUCUCCUCCUAAAGAGUAACGGAGGAGCACGAAGGUUGGCUAAUCCUGGUCGGACAUCAGGAGGUUAGUGCAAUGGCAUAAGCCAGCUUGACUGCGAGCGUGACGGCGCGAGCAGGUGCGAAAGCAGGUCAUAGUGAUCCGGUGGUUCUGAAUGGAAGGGCCAUCGCUCAACGGAUAAAAGGUACUCCGGGGAUAACAGGCUGAUACCGCCCAAGAGUUCAUAUCGACGGCGGUGUUUGGCACCUCGAUGUCGGCUCAUCACAUCCUGGGGCUGAAGUAGGUCCCAAGGGUAUGGCUGUUCGCCAUUUAAAGUGGUACGCGAGCUGGGUUUAGAACGUCGUGAGACAGUUCGGUCCCUAUCUGCCGUGGGCGCUGGAGAACUGAGGGGGGCUGCUCCUAGUACGAGAGGACCGGAGUGGACGCAUCACUGGUGUUCGGGUUGUCAUGCCAAUGGCACUGCCCGGUAGCUAAAUGCGGAAGAGAUAAGUGCUGAAAGCAUCUAAGCACGAAACUUGCCCCGAGAUGAGUUCUCCCUGAGACUUAGAGUCUCCUGAAGGAACGUUGAAGACGACGACGUUGAUAGGCCGGGUGUGUAAGCGCAGCGAUGCGUUGAGCUAACCGGUACUAAUGAACCGUGAGG
rnacentral:rRNA from 1 species